GGCCUUUAAGGCUAUGUUGUUAUUUUUAACAUUUUUCUCUUUGUUAUUCAUUGGAUAUUGUCCUUUUUAAAAAAUUUUUUUUGAGAGGUAGAGCUACAGAGAGAGGGAAAGACAGAAAGUUCUUCCAUCUGCUGGUUCACUUCCCAAAUGGCUGCAAGAGCUGGAGCUGCAUCUAUCUGAAGCCCUAAUCCAGGAGCUUCUUCUGGGUCUCCCAUGCUGGAACACUGGCCCAAGCACUUGGGCCAUCUUCCACUGCUUUCCUAGGCCAUAAAAAGAGCUGGAUUGGAAGAGGAGAAACCAGGACAUGAACUGGCGCCCAUAUGGGUUGUUGGUGCCACAGGUAGAGGCUUAGCCAAGUAUGUAACAACACUGGCCCUGGAUAUUGUCUUUUUGAAAAAUUUAAAAACUUAUUUGAGUGGUAGAAAGACAGAAAGAUAGACAUAGGAAGAAUUCAUAUCUGCUGGUUCACUCCCCAGUGUUCACAACAGUUAGGACUGGGCCAAAGCCAAGAACUGAGAAUUCAUCCCUUAUCUCUCAUACAGGUGGCAGAAACCCAACUUCUUGAGCUAUCUCCACUGCCUCCCAGUAUCAGCAUUAACAGGAAGCUGGAGUCAAGAGCUAGAGGUUACUGGAAGACUAUAGCACUAUAGUGAUUCCAUCUUUUUCAGAAUUCUCUGGCAGCACUGAUUUUAAUAAAAACAGGUCUAUUUUGCCAUCAAAUAACGAUGACUGAGGCAAGUGAGGAGCACCAGGUACACAACUAAUUAAAUCUUGCAAAAUGGGGUAGGGGUGGCCAGAGAAGGAGCAAUUUAUAUGCAAUUCAAACUAUAUACAGCAUAAGUGGAAUGUAGUCUAUCCCAAACUGGCCUUGUGAAAUAAUUGGAACUUUAUGAUUUAAUGGUUAAAAUUUUAACAAGUGUAAUAAUAUAAUAAAUUUACAAGGGAAGAAAAAUCCAAGGGGUAUUUUAUGUUAAGUAUUUGCUGUUUCAAUUUAAAAAUAAUUUUGCUAAGUACACAUCUCUCAACUGAGGUCUACAUAUAAAAAGUCCUAAUAUAGAUAUAUACCUUUGGUGAGUUGAAGGCUUUUUUGUGACUCCUGUCUGAACUGUAGGCAGAACAUUAGAUGGACAUGCACAUAACCCACUGUAUUUUAAUUAAGGGCUUUCUGUUUGUGAAGAACCACAAUGUUUGACUAUCAUGGCAUAAUUUUUCAAGCAGGUGGCCUGCACAAGCCAGUUCAUUUUAUUUGCUAUAUCACAGCUCUCACUUGUAGUAGUCUAUUUUUUUUCCGAACACUAAGAUUUAGGAAGAGAAGGUGAUUUUUCUUUCUGCAACAGAUCAGCUUCUGCAUUUUUCUGUAAUUUUUAUAGCUUGUCCA